GAGAAAUCGAGUCUGAAUAGGGCGAGAGUUACAUGCUGUAGACCCGAAACCGGGUGACCUAUCCAUGAGCAGGUUGAAGUAACCGUAAAAGGUUAUGGAGGACCGAACCUAUAUCUGUUGAAAAAGGUUAGGAUGACUUGUGGAUAGCGGUGAAAUUCCAAUCGAACUCGGAUAUAGCUGGUUCUCCUCGAAAUAGCUUUAGGGCUAGCCUCAAGGUAAAGAUACACGGGGGUAGAGCACUGACUGUUCGCGGGGCCUUCACCGGUUACCAACAACUAUCAAACUCCGAAUACCGUGCUAUCAUACUUGGGAGUCAGACUAUGAGAGAUAAGUUCCAUGGUCGAAAGGGAAACAGCCCAGAUCAACAGCUAAGGUCCCAAAGAGUAAGUUAAGUGGAAAAGGAUGUGGGAUUGCACAAACAGCUAGGAUGUUGGCUUAGAAGCAGCCAUACAUUUAAAGAGUGCGUAAUAGCUCACUAGUCGAGUGAUCCUGCGCCGAAGAUAAACGGGGCUCAAACUUACCACCGAAGCUUUGGAAUUAGUAUAACUAAUUGGUAGAGGAGCAUUCUAUACAGGCAGAAGGAGGCGCGUAAGCAAAUCUGGACGGUAUAGAAGAGAGAAUGUUGGCAUGAGUAGCGUAAGGCGGGUGAGAAUCCCGUCCGCCGAAAAUCUAAGGUUUCCUGAGGAAGGUUCGUCCUCUCAGGGUAAGUCGGGACCUAAGCCGAGAGCGAACGCUGUAGGCGAUGGACAACAGGUUGAUAUUCCUGUACCACCAAGGAUUGUUUGAAUGAAGUGGGGACACAGAAGGAUAGAUUGAGCACGCCGUUGGUUGAGCGUGUCCAAGCAGCAAGGCUUGAAAGUAGGCAAAUCCGCUUUCUACAAGGCUGAGCUGUGAUGGGGUGGUCGAAUGACCGGUAGCAAUCGAUUUCACGCUGUCAAGAAAAGCCGCUAAUGAGAUCCAAGGUGCCCGUACCGCAAACCGACACAGGUAGAUGAGGAGAGAAUCCUAAGGUGAGCGAGCGAACUAUUGUUAAGGAACUCGGCAAAAUAACCCCGUAACUUCGGGAGAAGGGGUGCCUGCUUCGGCAGGCCGCAGUGAAGAGGUCCAGGCAACUGUUUACCAAAAACACAGGUCUCUGCUAAAGCGAAAGCUGAUGUAUAGGGGCUGACGCCUGCCCGGUGCUGGAAGGUUAAGGGGAAGUGUUAGGGCAACCGAAGCACAGAACUUAAGCCCCAGUAAACGGCGGCCGUAACUAUAACGGUCCUAAGGUAGCGAAAUUCCUUGUCGGGUAAGUUCCGACCCGCACGAAAGGCGUAAUGAUCUGGACACUGUCUCAACAA
rnacentral:rRNA from 1 species